UGUUUUGUUUUGUUUUAACUUUAAGGAGCCUUCCCUUAUGGAUAAAUGGUUGCUUCUUUAAAAAAGCCCAACAUGUUCAAUACGAGGUCAAGUGUUUGACCUGAGAACCAGAAACACUGUUAUCAGGAAAAAAUUCGGCUUUUAAAACCUACCAGGACGGUUGAGGUUUUUUAGGAGUGACCCAGAAACGCAGGUUUGCUUCCAGUGGAGAUGAGAAUGGGGGUAGACAGGAAGAGAAACUCCUAGUCAUGAGAGGUACAGCUUUGGUCACUCUGAGUAAAGUGAUAAAAAGGGCUUUAUUCUAAGACAGCCUCCCAUCUUAAAGUCCAGCCUCAGGCAGGUCCCAUAGGAGGUAUCCAGAAGAAGGCAUUUUCAUCAUAGCAGACGACAGCUCCGUGCCUGUAUUGUCCCUGAAGACCUUCCAGUGAGACAAGAUGUGGAGGUGGAAGACAGUGAUAUUGAUGAGCCUGACCCUGU